GUGCGUGCUUAGGCUUUGGAUACUUGGUUUUUUCUUUUUUUUUUUUUUUUUUUCUCUUUUCUUCUAUUUAUUUAUUUAUUUAUUAAUUUUUACUUACCGCAGCCUAAAAAAGCAUGCCUUGGGGCUUCUCCUCCCUACCACAGCCGGGCCGCCCCAGCACAAGCGCAGCCAAUCCCGGCGGGUUGCGAGACGGAGGGAGGAGGAGGAGGGCGAGGGGCAGCCACGCGGGGCCGCGGGCGCGGCAGGUGGGGGAUGGCCCGGGGGGCGGAGGACAGCCGACACCGCCCAGAAGCCGCGCAGCUCCGGCCCCGAGCCGGAGCGUGGCUCGAGCAUCGCUGUAAGAGCCCGCGGCCGCCCCCUCCCGAGCUCUUAGCCGUCCCCUAAAGUUUAUUUUUAGCCCCCGGAAAGCGCUAUAAAGGUCCCGCGGAGCGAGCGGGCCGGGAGACGUGGCACCGCGCUGCCUGCAGCCACUUCUCUGAACUGUUACCUUCAAAAUGAAGAGCAAGACAGAGAAGAUAUCAAAAGGAGAUCAAAACUAUAAUGUCUACGCAUCCUGAAGUACCUCUUAUCUGUAAAGGACAUCCUCAUUCAGAGCAAACGUAAUGGAGAGAGGCAUGGAAAGGAACAGGUGAGACCAGUCCACCAGUGCAUGUCUCCAAGACUGGUUGCCUCCACCGGAAUUUUGGAUUUUAUAAUCAUGGGAAAGUCUUUGAGACACAAGAUCUGCUGGGGGUCGUCGUAACCCAUCUUUCUCAAUUGGGAAGAUAUUUCUUGGCCUGUAACAUGGUGAGCCUGAUUGAGAGGGCUUUAAACUACAAUCAGCUUGGGUGGGGGGGAUACCAUUAGGAACACUGAGGUUGUGCCACGGGAUGAUGUAGACUGUUUGAGAGUGGCAAGGCUAAUGGGAUCAUUUGUGACACUUCAGGAAGUUCUACAGGUUCAGGAAUACAUCUGAAAUGUUUGAAUACUAACACACACAGCAUGAGAAAAAAAUGGGAUGAACUGGAAGCUUUGGUCCUUUCCCAGACCUCUGAUAUCAUUGGUAUCAGGUGCUGUUGACUCCCUGGAGGGUGUAGAGGCUUUUCAGAGUGACAGUGGAGUAUCACGAAUCACCAACAGCCUGAAGUUCAACAAAGGAAAAUGAUGAGAUCUGCACCUGAGAUGGAGCAAUGUCAAACACAAGCACAGAUGGGAGACAAGUGACUGGAGUCAAGCUCAGCUUGAGCCAGCGGUGUGCCCUGGUAGCCAAGAGGGCAAACUGCAUUUUGGGAUGCAUUAAACGCAGCACAACCAGCCAGUCAAAACAGGUGAUCCUUCCUCUACACUUAGCAUUACUGCAGCCUUACUUCAAAUAUUGUGUACAGCUCCGGACUCCACAAUAUAAAAAGUGUAUCAAUAUAACUUCAAAGCAUCUAGAGAAGGGCAAGAAGACUUGUAAAAGAGUGGAAAGACAUGUCCUAUGAGGAGAGGCUGAGGAUACUUGGGCUGUCCAACCUGAAGAAGAAGUGGCCGAGAGGCAACCUCACAGCUCUUUGCAUCUCCCUGAGGAAGGGAAGCAGAGGGAUGUGCCCAACUCUUCUCCCUGGGAACCAACGGCAGGAUGUAUGUGAAUGGCACAAAGCUGCAUUAAGGGAGGUUCAGACUGAACAUUAGGAGAAAUUCCUUUAUCAUAUACUGGAGCAGGCUUCCUAGAGUAGUGAUUCAUGUUGAAUGCCUGUCAGUGUUAAAGAGAUGUUUGGACAAUGUCUUUAAUGAUGUUUUAACAUUUGGUUAGUCCUGAAGUGGUCGGACAGAUGGACUAGAAUACGUCGCAAGGUCUCUUCCAACUGAACAAUUCUAUCCUAUUCUGUUCUGUUCCUUCACUUGUCAUUGUAUCAUAAAACAAAGGGAAUUCUUUAUUUGCCUUCUCCAGAGGGCCUUCUCACAUGAUAGUUCAAAUCUCAACUUUCUAUCUUCUCAUCCACUUCUUUCAAGCCAAAAACUGCAAACAGCUUUUUAGAUUCAGGUAUACUAUGGAUUUCUACCUUGCUAAUUACUAACAUUAAGUUUUAUUUUUGACCACCUCUGAGAAUCAAGAUGAUGUUUUCACAGAGCUGCCACUUGCAACUCCAAUAUCUUUUUGUUGAAUACCAAGAACUUGAGAAUCCACUUCUACUUGUGCAAAGUUAGGUUUGUUUUGUUCUAUGAGCAUCCCACUACACUUACAUAAGCAGAAUUUCAUUCUCACUCUUACUAUCCAUUCAUGCUAUCUUCCGAGGUCUUUCUGCAGAAUCUGUAGAUGUUCUUUAUCUUUGCCACCCACAGUAACUCAGUAUUAUCAGCAUGUGCCCAAAUACCUCUUGUUGUACAUGAAGAAUGACAGAUUGAUUUUCACCAGAUUGUAUUACACAGUUUAAAAAAUAAAAAGAAACUGAGACAAAAUACAACAAAAUGUUGUGCCUAUUCCAUCUUGAGCUCUGAUCUUUGACUGAGUUUGGAAAAGAAAAAAGAAAAAAGAAUUAUAAACAUUGUCAUGUUUACCACUUCAAUGCAGAGGAUUUUGAUUUCCAAACUAUCUUCUACUGCUUGGAUUAUUUCCUUGAUGAACAGCAUGACAAUUUAAGAGAUUAUCACCAAUUAAUUCAAAAUGACCAUUUUGAGGUGUAAUCUUGAAGAUUCAAUAAAUACUGAGAAUUUUUUUUUUUUUUUUAUCUCAAUCUUGUGACCAUAAAUACAAG
rnacentral:lncRNA from 1 species